CACAAUAUAGUUUAAUUAAAAAUUUUAGCUUUGGGAGCUAGCGAUAGGAGUUAAAAUCUCCUUUUUGUGA
rnacentral:tRNA from 1 species